rnacentral:rRNA from 1 species
GACGAACGUUGGCGGCGUGCUUAAUACAUGCAAGUCAACUGAAGCAGUGGUAGCAAUAUCGCUGUGGAGGUGGCGCACGGGUGAGUAACACGUAGGUAAUCUGCCUUCAGGUCUGGCAUAACUCCGGGAAACCGGGGCUAAUAGCAGAUGAUGAAGCGGCUCGACAUCGAGACAGUUGUUAAAGCUAUGGCGCCUGAAGAUGAGCCUGCGUCUGAUUAGCUAGUUGGCGGGGUAACGGCCCAUCAAGGCAACGAUCAGUAGCUGGUCUGAGAGGAUGAUCAGCCACACUGGAACUGAGACACGGUCCAGACUCCUACGGGAGGCAGCAGUAAGGAAUAUUGCUCAAUGGGAGAAAUCCUGAAGCAGCAACGCCGCGUGAGGGACGAAGGGCUUUUGCUUGUAAACCUCUGUAGUGAGAGAAAAAAAUCCCAAUCUUUGGGACAUGAUGGUAUCUCAAAAGUAAGCCCCGGCUAACUACGUG